UACCAGCACCCCGAGUGGUCGGGACGAUUAUUGGGCCUAAAGCAUCCGUAGCCGGUUUUACAAGUCCUCCGUUAAAUCCACCUGCUCAACAGAUGGGCUGCGGAGGAUACUAUAGAGCUAGGAGGCGGGAGAGGCAAGCGGUACUUAGUGGGUAGGGGUAAAAUCCGUUGAUCCAUUGAAGACCACCAGUGGCGAAGGCGGCUUGCCAGAACGCGCUCGACGGUGAGGGAUGAAAGCUGGGGGAGCAAACCGGG
rnacentral:rRNA from 1 species